rnacentral:rRNA from 1 species
UGGAGCAUGUGGUUUAAUUCGAAGCAACGCGAAGAACCUUACCAGGCCUUGACAUGCAGAGAACUUUCCAGAGAUGGAUUGGUGCCUUCGGGAACUCUGACACAGGUGCUGCAUGGCUGUCGUCAGCUCGUGUCGUGAGAUGUUGGGUUAAGUCCCAUAACGAGCGCAACCCUACCUUUAGUUGCCAUCAGGUAAUGCUGGGGACUCUAAAGGAACUGCCUACGCAAGUAGUGAGGAAGGCGGGGAUGACGUCAAAUCAGCACGGCCCUUACGUCCAGGGCUACACACGUGCUACAAUGGCCGAUACAGAGGGCAGCUACCUGGUGACAGGAUGCAAAUCUCCAAAGUCGGUCUCAGUUCGGAUCGGAGUCUGCAACCCGACUCCGUGAAGUUGGAUUCGCUAGUAAUCGCGCAUCAGCCAUGGCGCGGUGAAUACGUUCCCGGGCCUU